rnacentral:rRNA from 1 species
GACGAACCGUGCGAACGUUAUUCGGAAUCACUGGGCUUAAAGGGCGCGUAGGCGGGCGACCAAGUCAGGGGUGAAAUCGUUCGGCCCAACCGGACAAGGGCCCCUGAUACUGGUUGUCUCGAGGGAGGUAGGGGUCGAUGGAACUUCCGGUGGAGCGGUGAAAUGCGUAGAUAUCGGAAGGAACGCCGGUGGCGAAAGCGGGUCUCUGGGCCGAUACUGACGCUGAGGAGCGAAAGCGUGGGGAGCGAACAGG